UACGGGGGGUGCAAACGUUGCUCGGAAUUAUUGGGCGUAAAGCGCACGUAGGCGGUCUCUUAAGUCGGGUGUGAAAGCCCUGGGCUCAACCCAGGAAGUGCAUUCGAAACUGAAAGGCUUGAGUACGGAAGAGGGUCUCGGAAUUCCCGGUGUAGAGGUGAAAUUCGUAGAUAUCGGGAGGAACACCAGUGGCGAAGGCGGAGACCUGGGCCGAUACUGACGCUGAGGUGCGAAAGCGUGGGGAGCAAACAGG
rnacentral:rRNA from 1 species